rnacentral:Y_RNA from 1 species
GGCUUGUCCAAGUGCAGUGGUGUUUACAACUAAAUGAUCACAACCAGUUAUAGAUAUAUUUGUUCUUCUCCACUCCCACUGCUUCGCUUCACUACCCUUAA